AGCGAACGCUGGCGGCAGGCCUAACACAUGCAAGUCGAACGAACCUUUCGGGGUUAGUGGCGGACGGGUGAGUAACACGUGGGAACGUGCCUUUAGGUUCGGAAUAACUCAGGGAAACUUGUGCUAAUACCGAAUGUGCCCUUCGGGGGAACGAUUAAUCGCCUUUGGAGCGGCCCGCGUCUGAUUAGCUAGUUGGUUGAGGUAAUGGCUCACCAAGGCGACGAUCAGUAGCUGGUCUGAGAGGAUGAUCAGCCACAUUGGGACUGAGACACGGCCCAAACUCCUACGGGAGGCAGCAGUGGGGAAUCUUGCGCAAUGGGCGACAGGCUGACGCAGCCAUGCCGCGUGAAUGAUGAAGGUCUUAGGAUUGUAAAAUUCUUUCACCGGGGACGAUAAUGACGGUACCCGGAGAAGAAGCCCCGGCUAACUUCGUG
rnacentral:rRNA from 1 species